GUGUCAGCAGCCGCGGUAAUACGGAGGGUGCGAGCGUUGUCCGGAAUCACUGGGCGUAAAGGGCGCGUAGGCGGUCCGGUAAGCGCGUGGUGAAAGCCCGGGGCUCAACCCCGGGUCGGCCGUGCGGACUGCGGGACUGGAGCACUGUAGAGGCGGGCGGAAUUCCGGGUGUAGCGGUGGAAUGCGUAGAGAUCCGGAAGAACACCGGUGGCGAAGGCGGCCCGCUGGGCAGGAUGCUGACGCUGAGGCGCGACAGCGUGGGGAGCAAACAGGAUUAGAAACCCCGGUAGUCC
rnacentral:rRNA from 1 species